UUGCCUACGGGGCGCAGCAGUGAGGAAUAUUGGUCAAUGGGCGAGAGCCUGAACCAGCCAAGUCGCGUGAGGGAAGACGGUCCUAUGGAUUGUAAACCUCUUUUGCCGGGGAGCAAAAAGCGGUACGUGUACCGCAUCGAGAGUACCCGGAGAAAAAGCAUCGGCUAACUCCGUGCCAGCAGCCGCGGUAAUACGGAGGAUGCGAGCGUUAUCCGGAUUUAUUGGGUUUAAAGGGUGCGCAGGCGGAGGUGCAAGUCAGCGGUCAAAUUGCGGGGCUCAACCCCGUACUGCCGUUGAAACUGUAU
rnacentral:rRNA from 1 species